GAUGAACGCUGGCGGCGUGCCUAAUACAUGCAAGUCGAGCGAACAGACGAGGAGCUUGCUCCUCUGACGUUAGCGGCGGACGGGUGAGUAACACGUGGAUAACCUACCUAUAAGACUGGGAUAACUUCGGGAAACCGGAGCUAAUACCGGAUAAUAUAUUGAACCGCAUGGUUCAAUAGUGAAAGACGGUUUUGCUGUCACUUAUAGAUGGAUCCGCGCCGCAUUAGCUAGUUGGUAAGGUAACGGCUUACCAAGGCAACGAUGCGUAGCCGACCUGAGAGGGUGGUCGGCCACACUGGAACUGAGACACGGUCCAGACUCCUAGGGGAGGCAGCAGUAGGGAAUCUUCCGGAAUGGGCGAAAGCCUGACGGAGCAACGCCGCGUGAGUGAUGAAGGUCUUCGGAUCGUAAAACGCUGUUAUUAGGGAAGAACAAAUGUGUAAGUAGCUAUGCACGUCUUGACGGUACCUGAUCAGAAAGCCACGGCUAACUACGUG
rnacentral:rRNA from 1 species